UAGGUUGACAAAUAGGCAGGGAGCUGUAUUUACGGUUUUGAUUGGCUGACGUACGUGACCACUCCCAGGUCUCAGUCAUAGGAAGGCUCCUGCCUCACAUUUGACUUCUAGUCUUGCAACAGACUUUGAAGAGCUGUCGCAUCAAAGAUUUCUGGUGGACUAACACACUCGAGAAGACAAAGUGAUAGGCGAUGCCUCGCACCAAGGCAUCCCGCCGUUCAGCAGCAGCGAAGAAGAGGCUAAUGGAUAGGCGUCGAGCUACUGCUGGCGAUGUUGUGGCUGAGACUGUUGACGGGGUUACUUCUAUUCCCCAACCCAAAAAGGAGCUGACCGUGACUAAUCUGACGAGCCACAACCAACAGCCUGACCCUGCUGCUGCUGCCCUCCAUGUCGUGGCUAUGACUGAU